UCGCAUGUACGAUUUAUUGCAACGCAGAAGUAGUUGAUGUUCAAAUUUUUCACCUGUAAGCUUCGCCAGUUGGGCUGAGAGGACGCCCAAUGACCAGUGAGUGCUCCUUGUCAAGGUUGGUAGAGACGGCGACCUUUUAUCUCACAUAGUACAAAUCCAAACAGCCAAUCCCUUGGUACUUUGUUACAUGUUCAGAGGGUAGAUAGGCUAUUUUUCUGCCGCUUUUGCCCCAGUCGUCCGAAAAAUACCAGAGGGAGUGAAAAACAGAGGUGGUAAACAAAGGUGACAUCUCAACCAGGCUAGACCAACAACCCUUCUUUUGAGUUUUUCCUGGGUUCCGACGUGACCUUCUUGUCAUUGUUGAAGGUGAAUACAAAAAAAAUCGUGAAUUUUCCCGGAUUCUGCAGGCACGGUUCUCGCACAAGCUUUCAAGUUUAGACGAUGAAGCAAUGUUCCUGAACACGCAGUAAUGCAUAACGCCGUUACGCGUUAGUUAUUAAAAAGGUAAUGACGUUACGUUGCUCAUUACUUUUCUCCCAAAUGUAAUGCAUUACCAUAUUUCACUACUCGAAUGUCACGCGCUACCGGUAACGCACUACUUUGUAACGCGUUAUUCCCCACCUAUGGUCGGAUGACAUCAUAUUCUUUUGCCCUUUUCAAAUUCCCUACCCAUUUCACGAGCCCCUUCCAAUCUGUCACAGGUAACCUGGGAUUCGCGAAUCUCAGUUUGGGAAACACUGAGCUACAUUGUUCUACUCUGCAGUCUCUGAGCUCCAAAACUUGGUGCCUGCAUCAGUGUCAUCGAAUUAUUGAACUAACAGUUGCCUCUAAGCUGUAGUAGUACGUUCCUUGUGCUCAGGAAGCAUGAUCGCGGAUUCCAUCGAAUAAUCCAAGUUGACAACCACUGCUCUACGCUCUUGGAACAUAUAAUUCAUUUUCCUGUCAAGAAAUUCCUGCAUUCCCAAUGUUAUUUUUCUCUAAGUGGGACAGCGUGGUUCCAGGAGGAUUAUUCGUGUGAGAUCCAGACUUCUGUACCGAUGACCUUCCUUGACAUGACUGGUAACUCCUCGCUGACUAUAGACAUCGUCAGGUGACUUAAGGUUAUGCAAGACCUCUUCAGGUGACCUCAACAGAUUCUAGAUGAAUUCGUGUGAGUUCAGCGGACUCCAGCUGUCUUCAGGGGGUUUCAGGUUACUCCAGACGUCUUCAGAUGACUCUAGCCGUCUCCAAGUGACUUUACCUGACUCCAGACAUCCUCAUGUGGAUUCAGGUCUUCAGGUGACUCCAGACGUUUCCGGACGUCUUCAGGUUACUUCAGGUGACUCGAGAUCUUUUCAAGUGGCUCCAAACCUCUUCAGGUGACUUCAGGGGUCUCGAAAUGUCUUCAGGAGACUUCAAGUGACCCCAGAUGUCUUGACGUGGUUCCAUACGUCUUCAGAUGACUUCAAGUGACUUCAGAUGCCUUCAUGUGGCUCUAGACGUCUUCAGGUAACUUGGGAGUGGCAACUCACAGCUUAGAGAGCUCCAGCGGUCUUCCCUACAAUAUCUGAACUCUGGAACAUGACCUCAUCAGGUGACCUCGAGAGGCUGUAGACGCCUUCAUGUGAGACCAGGGGACUUCAGGCAUCUGGAGAUGACUUCAGUUGACUUCAGAUCCAUGACAAAAAACCCGAAACUGGGAAAAAGACGAAAAACAGACGACACAACACAAAGUCUCAAGUCUCGGGUUUUUCGUCAUGGAUCUUAGCCACCAGCUCGCUUGCUUUUUAACCAUUUUAUCUGGACUUCACAUGUCUUGACGUGGCCCCAGACGUCUUCAGCUGACUUCGAGUAACUUCAAGUGACUUCGGAUGACUCCAGAAAUCUUCAGAUGGCUUCAUGUGGCUCCUGACGUCUUCAGGUGACUUCGAGUGACUUCACGUGACUUCAGGUGACUCCAGACGUCUUCCGGUUUCUUCAGACCUCAUCAGGUGACCUCGAGAGACUAUAGACGCCUUCGUGUGAGAUCAGGGGACUCCAGACAUCUGCAGGAGGCUUCAGGUGACUCCAGCCGUCUUCAGGUGACUUCAGAUGGCUUGACGUGGCCCCAGACGUCUUCAGUUAACUUCGAGUAACUUUAAGUGACUUCAGAUGACUCCAGAUGUCUUCAAGUGACUUCAGAUGACUUCAGGGGACUUCAAGUGGCUUCAGGGGACUUCAGAUGACUUCAUGUGGCUCUAGACGUCUUCAGAUGGCUUGACGUGGCCCCAGACGUCUUCAGUUAACUUCGAGUAACUUUAAGUGACUUCAGAUGACUCCAGAUGUCUUCAAGUGACUUCAGAUGACUUCAGGUGACUCCAUAUGUCUUCAUGUGGCUCUAGACGUCUUCAAGUGACUUUGAGUGGCUUCAGAUAACUUCGAGUGGCUUCAGGUAACUUUGAGUGGCUUCAGGGGACUUCAAGUGGCUUCAGGGGACUUCAGAUGACUUCAUGUGGCUCUAGACGUCUUCAGGUGACUUCGAGUGACUUCAGGUGACUCCAGAUGUCUUCAAGCGACUCCAGGUGACUACAGACAUGUUCCGGUUUCUUCAGCUGACUUGCUACAGACCUUCAUACCUCAUCAGGUGACCUCGAGAGACUAUAGACGCCUUCGUGUGCGAUCAGGGGACUCCAGACAUCUUCAGGAGGCUUCAGGUGACUCCAGCCGUCUCCAGGUGACUUCAGAUGGCUUGACGUGGCCCCAGACGUCUUCAGUUAACUUCGAGUAACUUUAAGUGACUUCAGAUGACUCCAGAUGUCUUCAAGUGACUUCAGAUGACUUCAGGUGACUUCAAAUGUCUUCAUGUGGCUCUAGACGUCUUCAGGUAACUUCGAGUGGCUUCAGGUAACUUCGAGUGGCUUCAGGUAACUUCGAGUGGCUUCAGGGGACUUCAAGUGGCUUCAGGGGACUUCAGAUGACUUCAUGUGGCUCUAGACGUCUUGAGGUGACUUCGAGUGACUUCAGGUGACUCCAGAUGUCUUCACGUUACUUCACAGACUACAGACUUCAGGUGACUUGACAGACUUCAGACCUCAUCAGGUGACCUCGAGAGACUAUAGACGCCUUCGUGUAAGAUCAGGGGACUCCAGACAUCUGCAGGAGGCUUCAGGUGACUCCAGCCGUCUUCAGGUGACUUCAGAUGGCUUGACGUGGCCCCAGACGUCUUCAGUUAACUUCGAGUAACUUUAAGUGACUUCAGAUGACUCCAGAUGUCUUCAAGUGACUUCAGAUGACUUCAGGUGACUCCAGAUGUCUUCAGUGGCUCUAGACGUCUUCAGGGGACUUCAAGUGGCUUCAGGGGACUUCAGAUGACUUCAUGUGGCUCUAGACGUCUUCAGGUGACUUCAGGUGACUCCAGAUGUCUUCAAGCGACUUCAGGAGACUUCAGGUGACUACAGACAUGUUCCGGUUUCUUCAGCUGACUUGCUACAGACCUUCAUACCUCACCAGGUGACCUCGAGAGACUAUAGACGCCUUCGUGUGAGAUCAGGGGACUCCAACAUCUGCAGGAGACUUCAGGUGACUCCAGCCGUCUCCAGGUGACUUCAGAUGGCUUGACGUGGCCCCAGACGUCUUCAGUUAGCUUCGAGUAGCUUCAAGUGACUUCAGAUGACUCCAGAUGUCUUCAAGUGACUUCAGAUGACUCCAGAUGUCUUCAAGUGACUUCAGAUGACUCCAGACGUCUUCAAGUGACUUCAAGUGACUCCAUAUGUCUUCAAGUGACUUCAGGUGACUCGAGAUGUCUUCAAGUGACUUCAAAUGACUUCAGGUGACUCCAGAUGUCUUCAUGUGGUUCUAGACGUCUUCAGGUAACUUCGUGUGGCUUCAGGAGACUGCGGAUGUCUUCAUGUGACUUCAGGUGACUUCAUGUGGCUCUACACGUCUUCAAGUG